UACGUAGGGUGCAAGCGUUGUCCGGAAUUAUUGGGCGUAAAGAGCUCGUAGGCGGUUCGGUAAGUCGGGUGUGAAAACUCUGGGCUCAACCCAGAGACGCCACCCGAUACUGCUGUGACUUGAGUCUGGUAGGGGAGCACGGAAUUCCUGGUGUAGCGGUGAAAUGCAUAGAUAUCAGGAGGAACACCGGUGGCGAAGGCGGUGCUCUGGGCCAGUACUGACGCUGAAGAGCGAAAGCGUGGGGAGCGAACAGG
rnacentral:rRNA from 1 species